rnacentral:rRNA from 1 species
UGAUUUUUCGAGAGGUGGUGCAUGGCCGUCGUCAGUUCGUACCGUAAGGCGUUCUGUUAAGUCAGAUAACGAACGAGACCCUCGUCCUUAAUUGCCAAACCCAUUCUCCGGAAUGGGCGCACAUUAAGGGGACCGCUGGCGCUAAGUCAGAGGAAGGAGAGGUCAACGGUAGGUCAGUAUGCCCCGAAUCUCCCGGGCUACACGCGCGCUACAAAGGACAGGACAAUGGGAUGCAAUACCGAGAGGUAACGCCAACCCCGAAACCUGUUCGUAGUUCGGACUGAGGGCUGUAACUCGCCCUCACGAAGCUGGAUUCCGUAGUAAUCGCGGGUCAACAUCCCGCGGUGAAUAUGCCCCUGCUCUUU